ensembl:misc_RNA
UUGACAGCCCCAAAGACCAAAGUGCUCAGUUAAACCUCAGGACAGGUACAUCACCAGCACUGGCUGAGCACGUCUUCCCCACACUGUCUCAAUAAUAAGCAUCAACUGUGUUUGUUUGGAGACUGUGAGCUGCUCCUUUUGCAUCCUGCCCAUUCAGUUCUCAGGUUUCU